GUCAUUGCACAUGCCCAGUAGUUACUUUUCCAAUCUACGUUAAACAGCUGGUUCCUAUUUUAUUUGCAAAAAAUGCCAGAGAAGACAUGUUCUCCCUAUGGUCUUAAAAACAUAUUCAGGCCUCUGAAAGAAACUUAAAAAAAAAAAGUUUUAGGUUACAAGAGAAGAGAAAAAUUCCAAACUGAUGAAGUCUUUGGUUCCUGCCUCUCUACAUAACAGCUUAGAAAGAUAUCAAGGAAGAUGAAGAAAGAGGAGGACCAUGGUGGAGAAGAGAAAGGAGGGAUUUAUAAAAGCACAAGGCCAUGUGUUUCAAGAUUCCUUCAAUGCUUGAUACAUCCAGAACUUAAAGGAUACACAAAUUCCUCACUGUGAUCAUGAUGGUCAAUUUCUAAAUCUUAUAGUCUCUUCACGCCUUCUCAUCAUUGUUUACCCUUUUUAUACCUUUCAACAAAUUGUCCAUAAGGAAGACACCUUAUGUUAGUAACAACAGCAGCAACAACGAAAGCAAUAACUGUAAUUCCACUGCUAUAGGGGAACUUCUGGAUAUGGAAACUGACUGUCUUAAUUCCUAUGACCACCUUCUUAGAGACUUGCCUUAGAGUACUGAGAGGUUAAGUGCCCACAGUUUCAUAGCCAGUAAGUGUUGGAAGAAGCACUUGAAUCCAGAUGUUGCUGACUCCAAGGCCAGCUUAAUAACCAUUAAGCCAUUGUUGCUGUUCAUCCCUCAUCCUCAAAAAGGACCGAUGACAUCAGGACUUGCAAGUGAAUUGGAUUUAAGUGAGGCAGAGCCUCAUUUUCUCCUCACGAGUCAUCUGAGUCCAGUGACAAAACAUAGGUCAGGAUCACUGGCAACAGCCCUGGAUGCAGUGGGAGACCUUGGCCCUUUUAAGCUAGAUCUUUCCCAGGUCUCAGUUUGUUUGAGGCAACAUCCAUUUGGUAAUUAAAGGACACUUUGUGAAGGAAAAUAAGGAAGUUAACAUGGAAAUGUGGAUAGAGUAGAUUCCAGGCAUGGAAGGAAGCCUUUGCGAAUGCACAAAGGUGGAACUUAAAAUGAUAGAUCAAAGAAACAGCUACUCAUCCAGUUCAACUAAAUACAAUAAUUAAACAAUCAAAUAACCAGGUAGUACUAUGAAAAGACUGAAGAGGAGCUAGAUUGUGGAGGGCCUUAAAUGUCAGCCUGAGAAAUUUUUAUUUUGUUUGAGAGGUGAGAAAAAGCCACUGAAAGCGCCUGAGCAGAGGAGUCACAUGGCCAAGCUUAGUUUUCAGAAAGAAAAAAAAAUGGCAGCUGUUUGGAUUGUGGACUGGAGAAGGGAGGGAAUGGAAGCAGAGAAACUUAAUCAAUGGACUAUUAUGAUAGCAUAGGUGAGAGCUGACCAAUGUAUGAAAUACUAUAUUUGCUGUGGGAAAGAAGAGGAUAAAUUCAAGAGAUGUUGUUGUAUAGAUAAAUAAUAUUUGACAAAAUUACUAGAAAUCCACAAUUAAAAAGGUAAGAGGAAAGAAUGUUAAUCAAAAUAAGCAAUUGCUAGUCAAGAACCAUGAUUCAAGUAUCAAGGAUUUUAGACUGAAAAGUAAGAGUUGUUUUUGGUGAUAUGGGUGUGUUUUUUCCUUCAAAGGUGAUCAGUGUGUCUCAUGGGGUAAAGAAAAUCACCCAGUCCUGAAGGUGAGAAUAGGAACUUUUUUCCCCUCUGACAUAGGAAAAGUUAUCCUCUCAAGGCUCAAUAAAAAACAGCCAAAAGACAUUACUAUAGUUAUCAAUAAUGGCUACAGGGUUUCUUCUUGAUAUCCAUGUUUUGGGGUUGUGAGGAUUGGGAAAAAGAAGUGUCAAGAAUGAUUUUGAAUUUGUGAACUUUGAUGUAGGAUCACAGCAGUCCCUUCUACAGAAAUAGGGAAGAUUGGAGAGGAGGAACCUUUCAUUGGGAAAGAUGAUGAGUUGUUUUGGACAUGGUCAGCCUUAGAUGCCUAUUGAGGAAAGCAUCUAUGUAAAUUGGUCAAAUAUAAUGCCAAGUCUGUGAAGAAAUGAAAGUGUGGCCAGAGUGGGCAGGGUGAGAAGGGGGUUGAUGGAUUUGGAGAACAUGGGAGUUUAAAGAGUCAAGAGGUUAUAGUGAGAAGGAAGAGUAGGAAAAGUGAGGCAGAAGAAGAAAAGGAAAGAAAUGUCAAUCAGAAAGAAGAAUUUCAGCAUUUAAGUUCAUGAAGGUGGUGCAGCUUUGUGUGAAAGGACUUGAGAAAUGUUGUCUCUGGUUGAUCAGAUAAUGAAGUAUUUUUGUCAUUGUU